GACGAACGCUAGCGGCAGGCUUAAUACAUGCAAGUCGAGGGGUAGCAAGAUUGUAGCAAUACAUUUGAUGGCGACCGGCAAACGGGUGCGGAACACGUACACAACCUUCCUAUAAGUCGGGAAUAGCCCAGAGAAAUUUGGAUUAAUACCCCGUAACAUAAUGAUGUGGAAUCACAUUAUUAUUAUAGCCACGGCGCUUAUUGAUGGUUGUGCGGCGGAUUAGAUAGUUGGCGGGGUAACGGCCAACCAAGUCUACGAUCAGUCAGUGGAUGUGAGAGCAUGAUCAGCCACACGGGAACUGAGACACGGGCCCGACUCCUACGAGAGGCGGCAGUAAGGAAUAUUGGUCAAUGGACGCAAGUCUGAACAAGCCAUGCCGCGUGAAGGAUUAAGGUCCUCUGGAUUGUAAACUUCUUUUAUCUGGGACGAAAAAAGGCGAUUCUUCGUCACUUGACGGUACCAGAUGAAUAAGCACCGGCUAACUCCGUGCCAGCCGCCGCGGUAAAAC
rnacentral:rRNA from 1 species